rnacentral:rRNA from 1 species
UACAGAGGUCCCAAGCGUUGUUCGGAUUCACUGGGCGUAAAGGGUGCGUAGGCGGUCGGGUAAGUCUGAUGUGAAAUCUCACAGCUCAACUGUGAAACUGCAUUGGAUACUAUUCGGCUUGAGGUCUGGAGGGGGGACUGGAAUUCUCGGUGUAGCAGUGAAAUGCGUAGAUAUGUGGAGGAAUACCGAUGGCGAAGGCAGCCCCCUGGGCUAAGAUUGACGCUCAUGCACGAAAGCGUGGGGAGCAAACAGG